rnacentral:rRNA from 1 species
CAUCUAGCAUGUGCGCAAGUCAUUGGGUAUUUAUAAUAAACCUAAAGGCGUAAUGAAAGUGAAUGUAUAAUAUAUAAUAUUUUUUUUAAAAAUUUAUAUAUUUUUAUAAAGGGAAGAUGGGUUACGUUAUUUAUGUUACCUCGCAUUCCCGGGGCGUUGCAUACUUAUUGCAAGUUGUGGCGCACCAAGAGCGUACACGCUGGGACCCGAAAGAUGGUGAACUAUGCCUGGUCAGGAUGAAGUCAGGGGAAACCCUGAUGGAGGUCCGUAGCGAUUCUGACGUGCAAAUCGAUCGUAUGAACUGGGUAUAGGGGCGAAAGACUAAUCGAACCAU